AUUGAACGCUGGCGGCAGGCCUAACACAUGCAAGUCGAGCGGAGCGGCGGACGGGUGAGUAAUGCCUAGGAAUCUGCCUGGUAGUGGGGGAUAACGCACGGAAAGGGGCGAUAAUACCGCAUACUAUCAGAUGAGCCUAGGUAGGAGUAGCUAGUUGGUGGGGUAAAGGCCUACCAAGGCGACGAUCCGUAAGGGGUCUAAGCGGAUGAUCAGUCACACGGGAACUGAGACACGGUCCAGACUCCUACGGGAGGCAGCAGUGGGGAAGAGUGGACAAUGGGCGAAAGCCUGAUCCAGCCAUGCCGCGUGUGUGAAGAAGGUCUUCGGAUUGUAAAGCACUUUAAGUUGGGAGGCGUUAUCAACAGAAUAAGCAACGGCUAACUUCGUGCCAGCAGCCGCGGUAAUUC
rnacentral:rRNA from 1 species